AUUGAACGCUGGCGGCAUGCUUUACACAUGCAAGUCGAACGGUAACAGGCCUUCGGGUGCUGACGAGUGGCGAACGGGUGAGUAAUGCAUCGGAACGUGCCCAAUCGUGGGGGAUAACGUAGCGAAAGUUACGCUAAUACCGCAUAAGCCCUGAGGGGGAAAGUGGGGGACCGCAAGGCCUCACGCGAAUGGAGCGGCCGAUGUCAGAUUAGCUAGUUGGUGGGGUAAAGGCCCACCAAGGCGACGAUCUGUAGCGGGUCUGAGAGGAUGAUCCGCCACACUGGGACUGAGACACGGCCCAGACUCCUACGGGAGGCAGCAGUGGGGAAUUUUGGACAAUGGGCGCAAGCCUGAUCCAGCCAUGCCGCGUGCGGGACGAAGGCCUUCGGGUUGUAAACCGCUUCUAGCCGGAAGAAAUACGCCGUUUUAAUUACUAGACGGUGGAUGACGGUACCGGAAGAAGAAGCACCGGCUAACUACGUGCCAGCAGCCGCGGUAAGUAGU
rnacentral:rRNA from 1 species